AGCGAUAUUUAGGGGAGGCUGAGGAGGCCUGGGGACAGUUUUGGGAGAGAAAGGGAAUGGUCGUUUUGGGUCUGGGGUAAAUGGGGAGAAGAAAGGGUAGGUCUGCGCUGAGCCGGAGUAGUUUGGAAAGGGUGAAUCAGGGAGAGGUUAGAGUGAUUGGAAGGCGAACGAGGGAGGGCGGUGGGGGGCAGGGUUGGGGUACUGGGGGGAGAAGCAGAGACCUUAGUGGCGGGAGCCCGCGCUCAGCGUCGCCCCUCGCGCCCCCAGCGGCUCCCGCCAUCACUCAGGCGCCCGAGGCGCUGUCGCGGACUCGGGCGAGCACAGCGCGCUUCGUGUGCCGCGCGUCGGGGGAGCCGCGGCCAGCUCUGCGCUGGCUGCACAACGGGGCGCCGCUGCGGCCCAACGGGCGCGUCAAGGUCCAGGGCGGCGGUGGCAGCCUGGUCAUCACACAGAUCGGCCUGCAGGACGCCGGCUACUACCAGUGCGUGGCUGAGAACAGCGCGGGAAUGGCGUGCGCUGCCGCGUCGCUGGCCGUGGUGGUGCGCGAGGGGCUGCCCAGCGCCCCCACGCGGGUCACUGCUACGCCACUGAGCAGCUCCGCUGUGUUGGUGGCCUGGGAGCGGCCCGAGCUGCACAGCGAGCAGAUCAUCGGCUUCUCUCUCCACUACCAGAAGGCACGAGGCAUGGACAAUGUAGAAUACCAGUUUGCAGUGAACAACGACACCACAGAACUACAGGUUCGGGACCUGGAACCCAACACAGAUUAUGAGUUCUACGUGGUGGCCUACUCCCAGCUGGGAGCCAGCCGCACCUCCACCCCAGCACUGGUGCACACACUGGAUGAUGUCCCCAGUGCAGCACCCCAGCUCUCCCUGUCCAGCCCCAACCCUUCGGACAUCAGGGUGGCGUGGCUGCCCCUGCCCCCCAGCCUCAGCAAUGGGCAGGUGGUGAAGUACAAGAUAGAAUACGGUUUGGGAAAGGAAGAUCAGAUUUUCUCCACUGAGGUGCGAGGAAAUGAGACACAGCUGAUGCUGAACUCACUUCAGCCAAACAAGGUGUAUCGAGUACGGAUUUCGGCUGGUACAGCAGCCGGCUUCGGGGCCCCCUCCCAGUGGAUGCAGCACAGGACGCCCAGUAUGCACAACCAGAGCCACGUCCCUUUUGCCCCUGCAGAGUUGAAGGUGCAGGCAAAGACGGAGUCCCUGGUCGUGUCAUGGCAGCCACCCCCUCACCCCACUCAGAUCUCUGGCUACAAACUAUAUUGGCGGGAGGUGGGGGCUGAGGAGGAAGCCAAUGGUGAUCGCCCACCAGGGGGCCGUGGAGACCAGGCUUGGGAUGUGGGGCCUGUCCGGCUCAAGAGGAAAGUGAAGCAGUAUGAGCUGACCCAGCUAGUCCCUGGCCAGCUGUACGAGGUGAAGCUCGUGGCAUUCAACAAACAUGAGGACGGCUAUGCAGCAGUGUGGAAGGGCAAGACAGAGAAGGCGCCCGCACCAGACAUGCCUAUCCAGAGGGGCCCACCCCUGCCUCCAGCCCACGUCCAUGCAGAAUCAAACAGCUCCACAUCCAUCUGGCUUCGGUGGAAAAAGCCAGACUUCACCACAGUCAAGAUUGUCAACUACACUGUGCGCUUCAGCCCCUGGGGGCUCAGGAAUGCCUCCCUGGUCACCUAUUACACCAGUUCUGGAGAAGACAUCCUCAUUGGCGGCUUGAAGCCAUUCACCAAAUACGAGUUUGCAGUGCAGUCUCACGGCGUGGACAUGGAUGGGCCUUUCGGCUCUGUGGUGGAGCGCUCCACCCUGCCUGACCGGCCCUCCACACCCCCAUCCGACCUGCGACUGAGCCCCCUGACACCGUCCACGGUUCGGCUGCACUGGUGCCCCCCCACAGAGCCCAACGGGGAGAUCGUGGAGUAUCUGAUCCUGUACAGCAACAACCACACGCAGCCUGAGCACCAGUGGACCUUGCUCACCACGGAGGGAAACAUCUUCAGUGCUGAGGUCCAUGGCCUGGAGAGCGACACUCGGUACUUCUUCAAGAUGGGGGCGCGCACAGAGGUGGGGCCUGGGCCUUUCUCCCGCCUGCAGGAUGUGAUCACGCUCCAGGAGAAGCUGUCAGACUCGCUGGACAUGCACUCAGUCACGGGCAUCAUCGUGGGUGUCUGCCUGGGCCUCCUCUCCCUCCUGGCCUGCAUGUGUGCUGGCCUGCGCCGCAGCCCCCACAGGGAAUCCCUCCCAGGCCUGUCCUCCACCGCCACCCCUGGGAAUCCCGCGCUGUACUCCAGAGCUCGGCUUGGUCCCCCCAGCCCCCCAGCUGCCCAUGAACUGGAGUCCCUUGUGCAUCCCCAUCCCCAGGACUGGUCCCCGCCACCCUCAGACGUGGAGGACAGGGCUGAAGUGCACAGCCUUAUGGGUGGCGGUAUUUCUGAAGGCCGGAGUCACUCCAAAAGAAAGAUCUCCUGGGCUCAACCAAGCGGGCUGAGCUGGGCUGGUUCCUGGGCAGGCUGUGAGCUGCCCCAGGCAGGCCCCCGGCCGGCUCUGACCCGUGCCCUGCUGCCCCCUGCUGGAACUGGGCAGACGCUGUUGCUGCAGGCUCUGGUGUACGACGCCAUAAAGGGCAAUGGGAGGAAGAAGUCACCCCCAGCCUGCAGGAACCAGGUGGAGGCCGAAGUCAUUGUCCACUCUGACUUUAGUGCAUCUAAUGGGAACCCUGACCUCCAUCUCCAAGACCUGGAGCCUGAGGACCCCCUGCCUCCGGAGGCUCCUGAUCUCAUCUCGGGUGUCGGGGAUCCAGGGCAGGGGGCAGCUUGGCUGGACAGGGAGCUGGGAGGGUGUGAGCUGGCAACCCCCAGGCCAGACAGACUUACCUGCUUGCCAGAGGCAGCCAGUGCUUCCUGCUCCUACCCGGACCUCCAGCCAGGCGAGGUGCUAGAGGAGACCCCUGGAGAAGCUGCCAGCUCAAAGCCCCCUGCCUUCUAGGAGCCAGCCCAGGCCUGCCCAGAUCCCCGGUCUCCUCCUCUGCCUAGCUCUUCCCAGAGGGUGUGGUUUGGGGCAGGCAGGUAUGGAUCACAUAGGAUGCGACACCUGUGGCCGUGUAUGUCUACAUGUGUGCCUGUAGAUAACAUCAUCAAGCCCUUUGGAGUUUCCUAAGGUGCUUUGGCUGGGAGGAGAGGAAAACAUGGAUUAUUCACUCCCCCCAUACUCUUUGUAAUACGCAUGUGACAUGUGAAAGACAUACGAGACACAGCUACAUGUGAUGUGCACAUGUGUGAAGUGCACGUAUGUGUACUGGUUUGUGAGCUGGGAAACCAUGGCCCAGGUAGUGGUCACUUCAGCCCGAUUGGUCCUCCAGGUCAGGAUGGUGCUCCACAGUGGUCAGUCCCCAGCCCUGUGGGCCGCCACCUCCAUCACCCAGCCUUUUAUUACACACUCUGAGAGUGUCUCCAAUGCCUGUCUGACAAAGACAGUCCCAGCCCAUUUUCCUGUCUGGCUGGGUUGAGUGCAAGCAGGCUCUGAAUGCCUAGCAUUUUAGCUGCGUCACCUCCCAGCUCCUUAUUGCCCAAAUAGAGAGGGUGGCCCUGGCUCCCCUCAGAGCAACUCUGCAUUUAAUUUUGUAAUUUGGGAAGUGCCUGGUUUUGAAAAUCCGCUUUCUCUCACUUUUCCCCUCCUUCUUUGCCCCUGGCUGCUCUAGUGUUCUGUCUCCCAGUCACCUCGCUCUCCCAGCACCAGUGCCCUUCUCCUGCUCCCAGAUAUUCUUUCCUUUCCUCUCUCCUGUUUUCCUUCCUCUGCUAUCUCUCGCACCUCUCCCAGACUGUGUCAUCUGGUUCUCCUGCCUGGGUUCAAACUCUGCAUCCUUCUCUAACAACGUGACUACCUCAUGUCUGCUUCAAGGCCCCCAUGCCCUCCUGUAUCCACGGCCGCCGUGCACUCGCCUGCCAUCCUCCUGCCUCCUCUUCACUCAGUGCUUCUGCUUGCCCUGCCCCAGGCAGCCCGCCCACGCCCAGUGCAGGUGUGGAGAAGACCUUCUGGCUUCCCUGCAUCUUGCCUUUGGGAUUGGGAUCCAAGGGUUCUCCAUGGAUGGAUCCAAGUCAUACAGGGGAAUGUUUGAGACAGGGAAGGAGACUGUGAUCCAGAGGCUCAGAAUAAAAAGAUGCCCUCUCUUCUAUGCAGGGGGGCAAGUUUACUGGAUGGAGAUGAUUUGGGUCUUUCUUCCAGAGAAGGUAAAGGAAGAGAAGGGGAGUGAGAGUUCAGGGAGGCCCUUCCCACCCUGUGAGGCUUGACUUGAUCUGGGUUGGGGAUGACAGGAAUCUCACCCUCCGGGGUACUGGCAAGGAGGUCUUUGCACAGGAAAAGGGGUAGCUCAUUUCAGUUUGUUUUUUCUUUAAAUUGAAUCCUCAAGUCAUUUUCUGUUCACCUGCCGCACAGGGACAAGCUUGACUUCUAUUUUCUGUGUAGUGAAAACAAUGUCAUUUAUUUGGUUUUUCACCUCAGCCCUCUCAUAGGAGCGUAGAAUGUUAGGGUCUUUACUCCCUAAUGAUGUCUGAUUGGCACAUGAAGAGUUAACUCUGGCUUCUGGGCCAAAUUCGAAAUAACCAGUCCAUUUUUCCUUUUUUUUUUUUUUUUUUUUAAUGGUGAAAUGUCUCUCAGCACAGUUGCGGCUUCCUCAAACCCUGAAAGCAUCUGUGUUUAUUAUACUCGGGUGUCACUCACUGUUGAUGUCUGCACCUACGUUUCCACCUCCUCCCCCUCCUUCAGCCAGCCUAUGAUAACACUAAAGAUUAUUAAUGUUGGUUUUGUAUCUCGUUAAAGACAGAAUUGUCACUUGUACUAUUUCUGCAGCAUUCAGCGCUGCUGUGGCUAACACCACUGUGUAUGUUUCAUCAUUGCUCUGAAGGUCAAAAGCCUCAUUUUAUUUUGCUGGUUUGAUUUUUUUUUUUUUUUAAAGAAGAAAAAAAAACUGCCCUGAAUUAAAUGGCUGUUUUAACAGUAGGCUCUUAGCAUUAUACCACAUAGUCAUUUUUCAUGUUCUUGUUUAACAGGCACUGAGGUUCUGGUUUAAAUUAAAUAGCUGCAAAUGAGACAAUUUAUAACCCAUUAGGUUGGGUGGAAAAUUGUUUCUCAAAAGCAAAUAAGUAAUAAAUCUGGUAUCUGCCUAUAACUCACAGUUGAUAAGAAAGUGGCCAUUUCUCACUAGCAUUAUAUAUGAUUUGAGCUCUGGGUAAUUUGGAAGUGUUAGGUUUGUGUCUUUGUAGCAGUAUUUUUAUUAGAAAAGAAUCUAUUGGCCUUUUAUAGGGUAUUAAUCCCUUUGUCACCUACCAUUGAUGCCUUAAGUUUUUUGAGUCUCAAUUAAAAAUCUUCCUUUUCUUGAUGCAUGACAAGUGUAAUCAGUACUUGCUCAUUUGUCUGUAUUUAGUUUAUGCUGUACUAUUUAAUUAUCCUCCCAGCGUUUUUUUUUUCUCCUUACAAAUAUGAUAUUCUUUAGUGUUAAGCUAAGGCAUUGAUUCAUGUAUCUGUCCUGAUAAUGAAUUAAUAAACUAUUUUCCAG
rnacentral:sRNA from 1 species